rnacentral:rRNA from 1 species
AUUGAACGCUGGCGGCAGGCCUAACACAUGCAAGUCGAACGGUAACAGGAAGCAGCUUGCUGCUUCGCUGACGAGUGGCGGACGGGUGAGUAAUGUCUGGGAAACUGCCUGAUGGAGGGGGAUAACUACUGGAAACGGUAGCUAAUACCGCAUAACGUCGCAAGACCAAAGAGGGGGACCUUCGGGCCUCUUGCCAUCGGAUGUGCCCAGAUGGGAUUAGCUAGUAGGUGGGGUAACGGCUCACCUAGGCGACGAUCCCUAGCUGGUCUGAGAGGAUGACCAGCCACACUGGAACUGAGACACGGUCCAGACUCCUACGGGAGGCAGCAGUGGGGAAUAUUGCACAAUGGGCGCAAGCCUGAUGCAGCCAUGCCGCGUGUAUGAAGAAGGCCUUCGGGUUGUAAAGUACUUUCAGCGGGGAGGAAGGGAGUAAAGUUAAUACCUU